rnacentral:rRNA from 1 species
UAGGGAAUCUUCCGCAAUGGACGCAAGUCUGACGGAGCAACGCCGCGUGUGUGAAGAAGGUUUUCGGAUCGUAAAGCACUGUUGUUAGAGAAGAACGGCUACUAGAGGAAAUGCUAGUAGAUUGACGGUAUCUAACCAGAAAGCCACGGCUAACUACGUGCCAGCAGCCGCGGUAAUACGUAGGUGGCAAGCGUUGUCCGGAUUUAUUGGGCGUAAAGGGAGCGCAGGUGGUUUCUUAAGUCUGAUGUGAAAGCCCACGGCUUAACCGUGGAGGGUCAUUGGAAACUGGGGAACUUGAGUGCAGAAGAGGAAAGCGGAAUUCCAUGUGUAGCGGUGAAAUGCGUAGAUAUAUGGAGGAACACCAGUGGCGAAAGCGGCUUUCUGGUCUGUAACUGACACUGAGGCUCGAAAGCGUGGGGAGCGAACAGGAUUAGAUACCCUGGUAGUCCACGCCGUAAACGAUGAGUGCUAAGUGUUGGAGGGUUUUCACCCUUCAGUGCUGGCGUUAACGCAAUAAGCACUCCGCCUGGGGAGUACGACCGCAAGGUUGA